GCGGGCCGUCUGAGGCGGGCGGCGUCCGCGCUGCUGCUCCGGAGCCCGCGCCUGCCCGCCCGGGAGUUGUCGGCUCCUGCCAGGCUCUACCACAAGAAGGUUGUGGAUCAUUAUGAAAACCCUAGGAACGUGGGGUCCCUUGACAAGACAUCUAAAAAUGUUGGAACCGGACUGGUGGGGGCUCCGGCAUGUGGUGACGUCAUGAAACUGCAGGUACUGGCUGGAUGAAAAGGAUCACCCCCUGCACCCCAACAAGAAGUUUGCUCACAGAGCAUUUCAUCUUGUCUGCCAUUCCUGUGAGGAGGGAUGGGCGGCUGACAAGGAUGGGUCUCUGUUCCGAAACAG
rnacentral:lncRNA from 1 species